UUAAUUGAAGAGUUUGAUCAUGGCUCAGAUUGAACGCUGGCGGCAGGCCUAACACAUGCAAGUCGAGCGGCAGCACAGAGGAACUUGUUCCUUGGGUGGCGAGCGGCGGACGGGUGAGUAAUGCCUGGGAAAUUGCCCGGUAGAGGG
rnacentral:rRNA from 1 species